UUGUGUGAGGGGUUGUAGCGGCAUCCUUUAUUUUCUUUCUUUAAGAAAAUAAAGAUAUAGCGUAAAACCCGACCCGAC
rnacentral:sRNA from 2 species